CACAGACCAUAUCCAGGUGCUUGUUCAGACCAUUGAGGAUUUGCAAAGGGGAGCUGGACAGAACCAUGAUCGUGUUUUGGCUGUGUCUGGGGUUGGGUUGAAGCCUUUGUUGCUGGAUGAGGUCACUGGACCUGUGGCUCACAUCCCACGCAGCAGUGAUUCCGUGGACCAGAUGACGUCUGAGACGGAAGAUGUGAAAAUCCAGCUGCAAACCAAGGACGUG